UGGAGAACAAGGACGUGAUUUAGCAACUCUAAGAAAUAUUGAAAGACACCGUUUCUGAAACUCCCUUGCGAGCGGAAACCUGGUGUCAAUCACAUCUGGAAUUGACCUAUUGCUACAAACACAUUGGGAACUACAGAAAUGCAUGUGCAAGCUGGGAGAUCUCUCUAGGCCUGGUCAGUCCACUCCUAGUGCAGAAGAACCAUGAGCUGAUAAACACCUAUGCAGAAAGGCCAAGACAGAGAAAAAAUGACAGCCUGCUCUUCAUAUACAUCAAAAGAGACUGAGUAUAUACAGAGUAUAUAUACAUUAUAUAUAUACAGAAUAUACAGAGAAUAAAUAAAGAAUAUAUAUAGGUAUGUAAUAAUAAA
ensembl:antisense 1700094J05Rik RIKEN cDNA 1700094J05 gene